UGCUUUAAAAAUGAGAGCUGAUAAAAGAACAAGUCCACACAAGAAGAGCAGUAACUAACUGCACUGGGUUGCAAAGACUGAGGUGGACCUCUUUCUUAAUGUCCAGUGUCCUCUGUUAUAAGAUUCGGUGCAAUAAGU